rnacentral:rRNA from 1 species
GACGAACGCUGGCGGCGUGCUUAACACAUGCAAGUCGAACGGAAAGGCCUGCUUUCCCUUGUGGAUUGCGGGUACUCGAGUGGCGAACGGGUGAGUAACACGUGAGUGAUCUGCCCCCAACUUGGGUAUAAGCCUGGGAAACUGGGUCUAAUUCCCGAUAGGACUGCAGGGUGGUGCCGGUGGUGGAAAACGAUUUUCUAGUGGUUGGGGAUGAGCUCGCGGCCUAUCAGCUUGUUGGUGGGGUAAUGGCCUACCAAGGCGGCGACGGGUAGCCGGCCUGAGAGGGUGGACGGCCACAUUGAGACUGAGAUACGGCCCAGACUCCUACGGGAGGCAGCAGUGGGGAAUAGUGCACAAUGGGCGGAAGCCUGAUGCAGCGACGCCGCGUGGGGGAUGACGGCCUUCGGGUUGUAAACUCCUUUCGACCGCGAGGAAGCCACCUGGUUGGAAGGGUGGUGACGGUAGUGGUAGAAGAAGCACCGGCUAACUACGUG